AUUGAACGCUGGCGGCAGGCUUAACACAUGCAAGUCGAGCGGGGGAAGGUAGCUUGCUACUGGACCUAGCGGCGGACGGGUGAGUAAUGCUUAGGAAUCUGCCUAUUAGUGGGGGACAACAUCUCGAAAGGGAUGCUAAUACCGCAUACGUCCUACGGGAGAAAGCAGGGGAUCUUCGGACCUUGCGCUAAUAGAUGAGCCUACGUCGGAUUAGCUAGUUGGUGGGGUAAAGGCCUACCAAGGCGACGAUCUGUAGCGGGUCUGAGAGGAUGAUCCGCCACACUGGGACUGAGACACGGCCCAGACUCCUACGGGAGGCAGCAGUGGGGAAUAUUGGACAAUGGGGGGAACCCUGAUCCAGCCAUGCCGCGUGUGUGAAGAAGGCCUUAUGGUUGUAAAGCACUUUAAGCGAGGAGGAGGCUACUUUAGUUAAUACCUAGAGAUAGUGGACGUUACUCGCAGAAUAAGCACCGGCUAACUCUGUGCCAGCCGCCGCAGUAA
rnacentral:rRNA from 1 species